rnacentral:rRNA from 1 species
GUCAUGCCUCAACGAGUAGGAGGGCNGUAGCGAUAUGCUUGGAAGGCUUAACGGGCGUAAGCCGGGCUGGAGCUCGCUGGUCCAAUCUGGUGGUAGUAGCAAAUACUCAAGCGAGAACCUUGAGGACUGAAGUGGAGAAGGCUUCCAUGUGAACAGCAGUGAACAUGGGUUAGUCGAUCUUAAGGCAUCGGCGAAGGCCGUUCAGAAGCGGUGUCGGUUUUAGUGGCAAAAACGUGCAGAACUUGUUUUUGUGCGCUUUUGUGCUCGGCUUUAGGUGCUUGCUCACUCUAAAGUCGCCGCACCUGCCGAAAGGGAAUUGGAUUAAUAUUUCCAAACCUAACAGCGGAGAUUGGUUGCUCAUUAGGCUGUUGCAGGACUUUAUUGCUCUUGUAGCAGUCGGGGUAACGCGCUGCGGUAACGCAAACGAACUCGGAUACGCUGACUGGAGUCCCGGGUUGUCUUUUUUUCAUAAGGAAUCGACUCCAUGGAAUUGGUUCAGCCAGAGAUAUGGAGAUGAUGUCCGAAAAGCAUCGCGCUUCUUGCGAUGUCCGGUGCGCUUCAAGCGGCCCAUGAAAUGCCGAGGGAGAGAAUGAUUUUCGUGUUAGAUCGUACCCAUAUCCGCAGCAGGU